rnacentral:tRNA from 1 species
GGGGCCGUAGUGUAGCUUGGACCACCAAAAGGUAGUAUUUUUGGAGGGAGCAAUCUAGCAUUGGGCGUUUGGGACGCUUAGACCCCAGUUCAAAUCUGGGCGGCCCCA